rnacentral:rRNA from 1 species
AGCGAACGCUGGCGGCAGGCCUAACACAUGCAAGUCGAACGGAUCCUUCGGGAUUAGUGGCGGACGGGUGAGUAACACGUGGGAACGUGCCCUUUGGUUCGGAACAACUCAGGGAAACUUGAGCUAAUACCGGAUGUGCCCCUCGGGGGAAAGAUUUAUCGCCAUUGGAGCGGCCCGCGUCUGAUUAGCUAGUUGGUGAGGUAAAGGCUCACCAAGGCGACGAUCAGUAGCUGGUCUGAGAGGAUGAUCAGCCACAUUGGGACUGAGACACGGCCCAAACUCCUACGGGAGGCAGCAGUGGGGAAUCUUGCGCAAUGGGCGAAAGCCUGACGCAGCCAUGCCGCGUGAAUGAUGAAGGUCUUAGGAUCGUAAAAUUCUUUCACCGGGGACGAUAAUGACGGUACCCGGAGAAGAAGCCCCGGCUAACUUCGUGCCAGCCGCCGCCGUAAAAC